UACGUAGGGUGCGAGCGUUGUCCGGAAUUAUUGGGCGUAAAGAGCUCGUAGGCGGUCUGUCGCGUCUGCUGUGAAAUCCCGGGGCUUAACCCCGGGCGUGCAGUGGAUACGGGCAGGCUGGAGGCAGGCAGGGGAGAACGGAAUUCCCGGUGUAGCGGUGAAAUGCGCAGAUAUCGGGAGGAACACCAGUGGCGAAGGCGAUCAUCUGGGAUUAACCUGACGCUGAGGAGCGAAAGCCAGGGGAGCAAACGGG
rnacentral:rRNA from 1 species